GGGUUGUGAGGUUAAGCGACUAAGCGUACACGGUGGAUGCCUAGGCAGUCAGAGGCGAUGAAGGGCGUGCUAAUCUGCGAAAAGCGUCGGUAAGGUGAUAUGAACCGUUAUAACCGACGAUACCCGAAUGGGGAAACCCAGUGCAAUUCGUUGCACUAUUGCAUGGUGAAUACAUAGCCAUGCAAGGCGAACCGGGGGAACUGAAACAUCUAAGUACCCCGAGGAAAAGAAAUCAACCGAGAUUCCCCCAGUAGCGGCGAGCGAACGGGGAGGAGCCCAGAACCUGAAUCAGCGUAUGUGUUAGUGGAAGCGUCUGGAAAGUCGCACGGUACAGGGUGAUAGUCCCGUACACAAAAAUGCAUAUGUUGUGAGUUCGAUGAGUAGGGCGGGACACGUGACAUCCUGUCUGAAUAUGGGGGGACCAUCCUCCAAGGCUAAAUACUCCUGACUGACCGAUAGUGAACCAGUACCGUGAGGGAAAGGCGAAAAGAACCCCGGCGAGGGGAGUGAAACAGAACCUGAAACCGUGUACGUACAAGCAGUGGGAGCACCUUCGUGGUGUGACUGCGUACCUUUUGUAUAAUGGGUCAGCGACUUAUAUUUUGUAGCAAGGUUAACCGAAUAGGGGAGCCGUAGGGAAACCGAGUCUUAACUGGGCGAAUAGUUGCAAGGUAUAGACCCGAAACCCGGUGAUCUAGCCAUGGGCAGGUUGAAGGUUGGGUAACACUAACUGGAGGACCGAACCGACUAAUGUUGAAAAAUUAGCGGAUGACUUGUGGCUGGGGGUGAAAGGCCAAUCAAACCGGGAGAUAGCUGGUUCUCCCCGAAAGCUAUUUAGGUAGCGCCUCGUGAACUCAUCUUCGGGGGUAGAGCACUGUUUCGGCUAGGGGGUCAUCCCGACUUACCAAACCGAUGCAAACUCCGAAUACCGAAGAAUGUUAUCACGGGAGACACACGGCGGGUGCUAACGUCCGUCGUGAAGAGGGAAACAACCCAGACCGCCAGCUAAGGUCCCAAAGUCAUGGUUAAGUGGGAAACGAUGUGGGAAGGCACAGACAGCCAGGAUGUUGGCUUAGAAGCAGCCAUCAUUUAAAGAAAGCGUAAUAGCUCACUGGUCGAGUCGGCCUGCGCGGAAGAUGUAACGGGGCUAAACCAUGCACCGAAGCUGCGGCAGCGAACGUAUCACUUAAAACGCUUAACGUGACGGCAAAGCCGGCAUGUUCAAGCCACACUAAACGUUGAGUUGGCCGAUGUGCUGACAAACGAACAGGCGUUUUAAGGAUACGUUCGUUGGGUAGGGGAGCGUUCUGUAAGCCGUUGAAGGUGGUCUGUGAGGGCUGCUGGAGGUAUCAGAAGUGCGAAUGCUGACAUAAGUAACGAUAAUGCGGGUGAAAAACCCGCACGCCGGAAGACCAAGGGUUCCUGUCCAACGUUAAUCGGGGCAGGGUGAGUCGACCCCUAAGGCGAGGCUGAAAAGCGUAGUCGAUGGGAAACAGGUUAAUAUUCCUGUACUUGGUGUUACUGCGAAGGGGGGACGGAGAAGGCUAGGCUAGCCGGGCGACGGUUGUCCCGGUUUAAGCAUGUAGGCGGAGUGACCAGGUAAAUCCGGUUGCUUAUCAACGCUGAGGUGUGAUGACGAUGCACUACGGUGCAGAAGUAGUUGAUGCCAUGCUUCCAGGAAAAGCCUCUAAGCAUCAGGUAACAUGAAAUCGUACCCCAAACCGACACAGGUGGUCAGGUAGAGAAUACUCAGGCGCUUGAGAGAACUCGGGUGAAGGAACUAGGCAAAAUGGUGCCGUAACUUCGGGAGAAGGCACGCUGGCAUUAGGUAAAGGGACUUGCUCCCGGCGCCGAAGCCAGUCGCAGAUACCAGCUGGCUGCAACUGUUUAAUAAAAACACAGCACUGUGCAAACACGAAAGUGGACGUAUACGGUGUGACGCCUGCCCGGUGCUGGAAGGUUAAUUGAUGGGGUCAGCCGCAAGGCGAAGCUCUUGAUCGAAGCCCCAGUAAACGGCGGCCGUAACUAUAACGGUCCUAAGGUAGCGAAAUUCCUUGUCGGGUAAGUUCCGACCUGCACGAAUGGCGUAAUGAUGGCCAGGCUGUCUCCACCCGAGACUCAGUGAAAUUGAACUCGCUGUGAAGAUGCAGUGUACCCGCGGCAAGACGGAAAGACCCCGUGAACCUUUACUAUAGCUUGACACUGAACAUUGAGCCUUGAUGUGUAGGAUAGGUGGGAGGCAUAGAAGUGUGGACGCCAGUCUGCAUGGAGCCAACCUUGAAAUACCACCCUUUAAUGUUUGAUGUUCUAACUCGGCCCCGUAAUCCGGGGUGAGGACAGUGUCUGGUGGGUAGUUUGACUGGGGCGGUCUCCUCCCAAAGAGUAACGGAGGAGCACGAAGGUUAGCUAAUCACGGUCGGACAUCGUGAGGUUAGUGCAAAGGCAUAAGCUAGCUUGACUGCGAGAGUGACGGCUCGAGCAGGUACGAAAGUAGGUCUUAGUGAUCCGGUGGUUCUGAAUGGAAGGGCCAUCGCUCAACGGAUAAAAGGUACUCCGGGGAUAACAGGCUGAUACCGCCCAAGAGUUCAUAUCGACGGCGGUGUUUGGCACCUCGAUGUCGGCUCAUCACAUCCUGGGGCUGAAGUAGGUCCCAAGGGUAUGGCUGUUCGCCAUUUAAAGUGGUACGCGAGCUGGGUUUAGAACGUCGUGAGACAGUUCGGUCCCUAUCUGCCGUGGGCGUUGGAAGAUUGAGAGGGGCUGCUCCUAGUACGAGAGGACCGGAGUGGACGAAUCACUGGUGUUCGGGUUGUCAUGCCAAUGGCAUUGCCCGGUAGCUAAAUUCGGAAGAGAUAACCGCUGAAAGCAUCUAAGCGGGAAACUUGCCUCGAGAUGAGUCUUCCCUGGGGCUUUAAGCCCCCUGAAGGAACGUUAAAGACGAUGACGUUGAUAGGCUGGGUGUGUAAGUGCAGCGAUGCAUUGAGCUAACCAGUACUAAUGAACCGUGAGGCUUAACCUUACAACACCAAAG
rnacentral:rRNA from 1 species